UACAAGUGGGAUUAAUCUAGACAGUCUA
rnacentral:piRNA from 1 species